UCCUCGCCGGAAGACCAAGGGUUCCUGUCCAACGUUAAUCGGGGCAGGGUAAGUCGACCCCUAAGGCGAGGCCGAAAGGCGUAGUCGAUGGGAAACGGGUUAAUAUUCCCGUACUUCUUACAAUUGCGAUGGGGGGACGGAGAAGGCUAGGUGGGCCUGGCGACGGUUGUCCAGGUUCAAGUGCGUAGGCUUGAGAGUUAGGUAAAUCCGGCUCUUUUUAAGGCUGAGACACGACGUCGAGCACCUACGGGUGUGAAGUCAUUGAUGCCAUGCUUCCAGGAAAAGCCUCUAAGCUUCAGAUUGUAAGG
rnacentral:rRNA from 1 species